ensembl:lncRNA
CUACCAUGAUGCACCGCUCCUCCCUUAUGUCAAUCGGCUCGCUUGUCGAGGAACACAAACUCCUGGAUUUUACUUUUAAUUCGGAUUAAUGAAUACCGUGUUCCAGAUAAGGAUUCGGGUAUCUGUUCACCCUGACAGAAGCCGUGUCGCUGUUUGAGGUGUGUAAUGACAAGAUAUGUAGCUCGCAUGUAAGCUUCGGGGGACUGGUAUCUCUCAUGAGGUGCCAUGCUGGCCACACAGACUCCAGACCUGCCCGCAGAAGGCCAGGACAUCAGACAGGUAAACACACCACUCUUAAGGCUGAACCACACCUUAACCACACAGAGACAUGCAAUACUAGUCACAACGCACCUUCACACUCUGUGUCUCUGUUCAAAGGACAGAGAGAUGUCUGAUUUGUAUGCAGAGGUUUGUAACAACAGAUGACGGGGUGAUAGAGAAGCCAGUGAUGCAGAGCGAGGUUGAUGGGUUACCGCGGGUUCGAUGAAGAGUGGCGACCAGGAGUGUGAAAGAAGGUGUUGUGGCGUCGGAUGAUAUGGCCAAGAUAUAGGACGAAGAGAACGAGACCUAGGCUGAGCCUUGAGGGACACCGCAUAUGACGGGUGGGCUGGCUGUUGAUGCUACACGCUAGGGCUGGGCGAUAUGACGAUAUCAUACCGUGGACGAUAUGAAAGUGUCUACCGGGAGAGAUUUGGCCAUAUCGUUUAUACCGAGAGAGAAAAAAAUAAAUAAAUUAUAUUGCACUGCACUGACUGAAGCAAGGCAGGUGUGAGACUCACCUGUUAACUUGAAAAAAAAUCUAAUUUGUAUUGAAGAAACAGAUCUAUUUUUACCACCAGCUAUUUGUACAG